AAAAAAAAAGCUCUUUCAUUGAGUUUUGUUUUGGAGAAGGUAGAAGAAGAUCGAUGAACAAUCCCACAAGCCUCAAUCCCUCUUCUUCUCUACACUAUACAGCUUUAAUCCAUCUUCUAGGAUUAGAGAGAAAGAGAUGGGUUGUUGUUGAAGAUGAAGAUCAUGGGUCACUAUGUUUGAAGAAGAUGAAGAUGAAAGAGGGUUUGAUGAACUUUGAAUAAUGAGAUGAAGAUUUAAGGGUUAAAUAUUUUUUGUUUUAUAAAAAUUAGUUUGUUU